GGCAGGGUAGCUCAGUUGGUUAGAGCGUUGUCCUGAUAAGCCAACCCCAAGGUUGGGUUCGAUCCCCAGUCA
rnacentral:tRNA from 1 species